rnacentral:rRNA from 1 species
AUUGAACGCUGGCGGCAGGCCUAACACAUGCAAGUCGAACGAGUGGCGGACGGGUGAGUAAUGUCUGGGAAACUGCCUGAUGGAGGGGCAUAACUACUGGAAACGGUAGCUAAUACCGCAUACCAUCAGAUGUGCCCAGAUGGGAUUAGCUAGUAGGUGGGGUAAAGGCCUACCAAGGCGACGAUCAGUAGCGGGUCUGGGAUGACGAUCCGUCACGUUGGUACUGAGACACGGCCCAGACUCCUACGGGAGUCAGCAGUGGGGAAUGUUGGACAAUGGGGGCAACCCUGAUCCAGCCAUGCGGCGUGUAUGAAGAAGGCCUUGGGGUUGUAAAGUAAUUUUGGUGGGGAAGCGGUACCUAAAGAAUAAGCAGCGGCUAACUCCGUGCCAGCAGCCGCGGUAAUUC